AUCAAGUGCUCUAUUGAAAGAAAUCACGAAUUUUCUUCAAUUCUAGCACGGUCAAGAGCCAUUGUGACUUCCUUCCAUCAAAGUGCUAAAGCCACGUCUAAGUUAGCAUCCUUAUGCAAAAACCGAACGAGUAAGGUUUUGGCUCAAGACGUGGUCACUAGAUGGAACUCGACGCUGACAAUGAUUGCCAGUUUAGUCGAGCUUAAAGAGUAUGUGCAAGAUUCUCUCUCAUCACCUGCCAUUGAUCGUUCAGAUUUGGACGUACAGGAACAUGAGUGGGAAACUCUUGUUGCAGCCAUGGAAUUGUUCCAGCCUUUCGAUGAAGUGACAACUGACUUAUCAUCCCAGCAUUACCCGUCGAUUUCGAAAGUUAUUCCUUCGAUUCGAUUGCUAAUGCAUUUCUUGAAUCAGAGGAAGGAAAAGAUCUUCGUUUCAUGUCUGGCCUAGUUCAACGAAGACCUUCUGUGUUUCCUGAACAUUCGUUUCAACAUUACACUGAAGUAUGCAACGCCUCAUAUCAUUGCAACUUAUUUGGAUCCGAGAUUAAAGAAGCUCACGCUACACUUUCCAAAAGAUGUUUCGGGUGAUGCUGAGAAGCUUACGAAGGUCGACAUGGAUUUUACUACCAAAAAAACGUUCCUCCGAUAGAAAUACCCGUACCUGCCAGUUGAAAGACGACGAAAAAUUCGAUUUGGAAUGAUCAUGAUUAUGCCACGACUGUUUCCAACGCUAAAAGGAAAGGCCAAGGACCGAGCAAUGAAGCAAACAAAACCAUUUGUAUCGCAGAGUAUAAUGAUUUUCCUCUAUUACCCCGUUCCGCUGACCCAUUGGGAUUUUGGAAAACUAAACGAGACCAAGGUGAGCUGCUUCCUCUUUCCAAAGAUGCAGUUAAAUUUAAAUGUAUUCCUUCUACAUCUGUGCUAUCUGAACAGCUAUUUUCUAGUGCUUCAGAACUAAUUUCAGGUAGUAGAAAUUGUUUACAUACCGAUAAUGUCAACAUGCUUUAAUUUCUAACAAAAAUGCAUAGGAAUGAAUGUUGUCUCAUUUAAUUUGUGUUCAUUAUUAUUAUUCCUUUGUUUAUAUGUUGUUUAUUGAAUAAAAUACCACUUUUGCCUUCAA